rnacentral:lncRNA from 1 species
CGGCCGCGGACUGCGUCCCUGGGGACACUGGAGGGGACUCCAGGGACAGCGUGGGUGGGCCUUUCCCCCGCACGCGCCUCUGUCACUCUCUUUCCGGGCCAGAGCCGGGGCAGCGCUCUAAAUUAAGGUCGACCUCCAGCGCUGGGUGAAGUCUUGAGUCCGCCCGGGAGCCCUAGAAGAGACUGGGGCAGCAUGAAUGUGCUGGAAGAUUAGAGGCUGCUGAUGCUGAAGGAAGGAGAAACGAGGAGGAAGUGUCCCUGUGGACAAGUCAUCUCCCUUCAUUUAAGCCAGGCCAGUAGUCCGGGAGACAUUCUGAAUGAUGCAUUAUCCUAGGCACCAGAAAGUAUCUAACAUUCUCAUGGACAGCAGGGAAAAAUGAGCACAUGAGACAGGGGAAGAUUCCAGCACCUGUGAACAUGUUUGUGCAGGUUUCCAGUCAGUACAUGGAUAUCCCUCAAGCCUUUGAAUCCAGUCUCCUGUGUUGUGAUUGGACCGUUUGUCAUUAGGUUUCCAGUGGCAGAGUAAUGCUGUGGGAGAACUGGCUACGAUGGCCGCAGGAGGUGAAUUAAGUAUUGUUGUGUUUUUAGUAGAACCACUAAAGGAAGAUCUGCAGGCAAGUUGGAUGAGUAUAAGAGCCAAAGAUUGACAAGACUUCCUCAGAUGCUCCUACUGACCAGUGGGGGCACUUCUACAGCUCCCCGAAUAUGUUCUCCCUGCAACCCCCACCACUUUUUAAUUAAAUGGCCAGAACUGCCUUUUUGUAUCAAAACUUAUUUUAGUCUAUCAAUCAAAGGCUUCUAUAGCCCACCUCAUGGCAAAGGAUAUCAGAGAGGUAAAAGAUAAUUGUUUUGACAUAUUUAUUAUCACAACUAGCGACUCUUUCUGCAUUCACAUUGGCUGGUAUGCAGAAAAGGGUGCUUUACAGGAUUCUUGGAAAUGUGUAGUGGAUGCUGGCUCUAGGGGAGGCAGAAUAGAGUGUGGGUUCUGCCAUGGGUCACAUCCGGGUUUUAAUUCUGCCUCUGCCACAUGACCUUGAGCACACUGGAAAACCCUAUUAGAUGUGCAAGAAGGCUUCCCCAUCUGUAAAGGUGGGUGACUUAGCAACUUUAGCAAUGCUUAAGUCACCCGGUUGUUGUGAGUAAUACAUAAGUUAAUGUAUGCUAACUUUCUAGAAAGUUUCCUGGCACAAAGUUGUAUUUAAUAAAUGAUUUUUAAAACAA